GGGCAUGUGGUGUAGUUGGUUAUCACGUCCGCUUCGCAUGCGGAAGGUCGUGGAUUCAAAUUCCACCGUGUCCA
rnacentral:tRNA from 1 species